ACAGACAGACGCUGAGGCGGCGGAAGCGGAAGCAACGGUGCUUCUGCCUCACACUUGUUGAGGGACCUUGAGUGGGCCGUGGUGCGCAGAUACAAAGUGCCUCCCAAGCUGUCGGCGUCCAAGACGUCGCCCGGCAGGCUCUAAGAGGCACACACACACACACACACACGCACACGCAAUUCUCGCGUAGAAUCGUCACUGCAAAUCGCGGAUGACGUCUAACCGCGAUGCCAAGCGUCACGGCUUCCGCUAUGGUGCUCCUGCAGCCGUCGUUGAUCCGCUGCUAUCGUUUCUCUUUGAUCUGCGGCGGAUGGAAGACACCGUCCUAUCCACUCUCGAUCACAUCGGAGUCCGGCGGCGCGACCUGCCUCGUCCUUUCGGGGGUGGCUCAUCCGCGUCCCCACCGGAAGUACCGGCCACAGCGGACGACGAUGCGGCAGUAUUUUCCGAAGCGCCGUCGCUGCGGAUGCCAGCGUCCGACCCUAUUGACGCCUAUGCCUACGAGAUCGCUGCAAACAGCUCUGAUGCGCACGAUGUGAGCGUAGUGGGCGUGAUACACCAACUACUGAGCUGGCUAGACUCCAACUCGUCUUCCUCUCAGUUGUCUUCACCUCCAUCGCAGCAGCUCCUGACGAUUUUUGCGGCGGCUGUUGGAGCAGGGGCAGAUGUCUUCUUGCGCGACGCGGCCACACUCGAGGAUACCCACGUUGAACGCACCUUCAAGAGGCCGAAGCCUGACAAGAGCGUGGCAUCACCGACAUUCGAUGGGGAGACCCUUGCGUGCGGCGAUGACAGCACGGCGCGCCUUGUUGGUACUCUCACCGCCGGCGAUAUCCACGCGGCGGUUCAGGAGUGGCGCGGGUACGAGAGACUUCUCAAAAGCAGUGUGGCGGAGAUGAAGACAACAUUGGCGGCCGUGACCGCGGCGCGGCCGAAUAGCUCAUACAGCUGUCAUGCGAAGUGGAUCGAGCGUACGCGAAGCGAUGGAAAGUCGACGUUCGUGGUUCCAGGCAGUGCUGUACUCAAGAGGAACUAUGAGGAGUUGAUCAGCCUCAACGACGCGCUGGCGACCUGCCAGGCUGCGGUGCACGCCGCUUACGUUGCACUAGAGGACAAUCUGGACGUGCUGUUGGAGGAAGCACAGACGGUAGAUCGACAGGAGCGGCUCUUUCAGCAUCACGUAUCAGUGGCGCACCGCGAGUGCGCUGCGUUGCAUGAGCUACGCAGGCGCAUCAAGCAAGUCCGCAAAACUCUGGAGAGGUGUGCCCACGGCCAGCGAGGUAGGCCGAAAGUGCAGCCCCGCUAGAGAGUAAAAAGUGCCCACGUGCACCUGCAUGUGUGUGGGUUCUCUGGCGGUUUCUGGCCACCGCGAAAGAGGCGCUGUGUGUUCUGCGUGGAGAGGCGGAGAUAGGAGGAGGGCCAGGGGGUAAUGCCUGUCUUUGUCAGAGGAAUUCUCUUCGCCUCUCACUUGGAGGCCAUCCAGCUUCCUCUGCUGCCGCGCGCACCUGUCCACACGCGUGCACUCUCCCCCAUUCUCUCUUCCAUUUUCCCCACCUCAGCGCUGUCCCAGAGGCUGACAACGCGGCUGCCGCAGAUUUGAUGCACCCAAGCAGUAGCGUCCGCACACGUAAUGAACCACGCUCGGCGCGGGCUGACGGCGACUGACAGGGCUUCGUGUGCAGCGGCUUCACGG
rnacentral:misc_RNA from 1 species